UUGGGAAAGGGAGGACUGCUGUGCAGUGAUGGGGGCUUCAGGAGGAAACAGGGAGAGGAGGAAGGAAGCACACAGGAGACUCCUCCCUGCCUCCUCCUCCACUGAUCCCGUGAAUGAGACAUGAGGGAAUCUGGCAGCAGGUUCAACAGUUAGGCUGGCUGAAGGCUGAGUUGGAGAUGGAGGUUCCAUUAUAUUAUCAUGACCUUAAUCUUCAAUAUACUGCCAGGCUAGGGUGGCCUGGAAAAUAGAGACUGCUGGUUGACUCCCCAAAAGUCACAGAAGAUCCAAGCUGGAAGAACUGUAGAGGUCACCCAGCUCAGUGGUUUGUGGCCCUGGCUGCCCAUGAGAAUCCCAGGCAAACUUUUGAAAAGGAAAGCUGCCUGGGACCUGCCUCAGGAAUUCUGACUUAAAGCUCCCACAUGCUUUUAAUGCACAGUUAUCACUGAGAACUAUGGCUCUAACUUGACCCUCUUAAUUUUACCAGCAGGGGAAACAGGCUCAGCUAUAUAAUGUGACUGUGGCUCAUUUAAAUAUCUCCUUCCUCACUUGGUUAUAGAGUUUGGGUUAUUAGAUCAUAAGUGGUUAGAGCUGGAAGAGAUCACAGAAGCCAUAUAGUCCAGCCCUACACUCUGACUCGAGACUAAGGAGCUAAGUGACUUGCCUACAGGGUCAUCGGGAAGUGUGGGAUGAGGGCUCCAAACCACGUCUCUCGACUCCUCCUCACCAAGGCUGCAGGAUGUGAAGCUAAGCAGACCCAGCUGCAGACCUUGUGCUUGCUCUGCUCCAGGGAGCUUUUCCAGCAGCACAGCUGAAACAGCUUGGCAGAGAAACCUGGUGUAACUGGAUGUCAAGUGAGCUCAGCCAAAGGAAUCAGGAUUUGGUGCCCUAAGGAUGGGGAGGAGGCAACCAGUCUGAUGGUGCUGAUCCUUGCUUUCUGCCUGCCUUCCAGUUGUGCUGGGGGUGUAUGUGUCUGCUCCUGAUCAACUGCCAGCUGGGCUGGGGUCCGGAUUAUGACAGGCUCAGAGGCUGUCCCUGGGUAUCAAGGGUCUUCUGACAUUUGCUGAGGCACAGGAGAUGGGGAGAUACCCAAGUGAGCUGGCUACACAGGUGUCUAUGAAGCCUAUAAUACCAUGCCCUUUUCUGGAAUGGCCAUUCUUCCUUCUUUACCCAUGGAAUACCUAAUCAGUCUUCCAGGACCAGCUCAAAUAUCAUCUCUUCUGUGAAGCAUUCCUACUGCCCCCAGGAUCCUGACCCUAUUACUGGUCCAUCUAGAAUCCACAAUGGAAUCUACAAUCUAGCCCAUGGAAUCUGUGGAGAAGGGCCCCCAUACAGCCUGGAAGUGGGAUGGCCUUGCAUUUCACAGGAUCUCAGCUGCACGCCUAUGGCUAAAGGACUUGAGGAACAAGUGGGUUCUGGAAGAGCCAAAUUGUGUCUGUAGUUACUAAACAUGUGAGUUCAUUAAAUGUUCAAUGAUUCAAUUUUCUUUGUAAAAAUUUAAAAGCGUGUAUGUAUAAUAUUACUCAA